AGCGAACGCUGGCGGCAGGCCUAACACAUGCAAGUCGAACGAAGUCUUCGGACUUAGUGGCGGACGGGUGAGUAACACGUGGGAACGUGCCUUUAGGUUCGGAAUAACUCAGGGAAACUUGUGCUAAUACCGAAUGUGCCCUUCGGGGGAAAGAUUUAUCGCCCUUAGAGCGGCCCGCGUCUGAUUAGCUAGUUGGUGAGGUAAAGGCUCACCAAGACUACGAUCAGUAGCUGGUCUGAGAGGAUGACCAGCCACAUUGGGACUGAGACACGGCCCAAAAUCCUACGGGAGGCAGCAGUGGGGAAUCUUGCGCAAUGGGCGAAAGCCUGACGCAGCCAUGCCGCGUGGAUGAUGAAGGUCUUAGGAUUGUAAAAUCCUUUCACCGGUGAAGAUAAUGACUGUAGCCGGAGAAGAAGCCCCGGCUAACUUCGUGCCAGCCGCCGCGGUAACAC
rnacentral:rRNA from 1 species